GCCGGGUGCGGUGGCUCCUGCCUGUAAUCCCAGCACUUUGGGAGGCUGAGGUGGACGGAUCACGAGGUCAGGAGAUUGAGACCAUCCUGGCUGACAUGGUGAAACCCCGUCUCCACUAAAAAUACAAAAAAUUAGCUGGGCGNNNNNNNNNNCGCCCAGCUAAUUUUUUGUAUUUUUAGUGGAGACGGGGUUUCACCAUGUUGUCCAGGCUGGUCUCGAACCCCUGAUCUCAGGCGAUUCGCUCACCUU
rnacentral:SRP_RNA from 1 species